rnacentral:rRNA from 1 species
GCCAACGACCAUACCACGUUGAAUACACCAGUUCUCGUCCGAUCACUGAAGUUAAACAACGUCGGGCGUAGUUAGUACUUGGAUGGGUGACCGCUUGGGAACACUACGUGCCGUUGGCUUUU